AACGAACGCUGGCGGCAUGCCUAACACAUGCAAGUCGAACGAGACCUUCGGGUCUAGUGGCGCACGGGUGCGUAACGCGUGGGAACCUGCCCUUAGGUUCGGAAUAACUCCCCGAAAGGGGUGCUAAUACCGGAUAUUGUCUUCGGACCAAAGAUCUAUCGCCUUUGGAUGGGCCCGCGUUGGAUUAGCUAGUUGGUAGGGUAAAAGCCUACCAAGGCGACGAUCCAUAGCUGGUCUGAGAGGAUGAUCAGCCACACUGGGACUGAGACACGGCCCAGACUCCUACGGGAAGCAGCAGUGGGGAAUAUUGGACAAUGGGCGAAAGCCUGAUCCAGCAAUGCCGCGUGAGUGAUGAAGGCCUUAGGGUUGUAAAGCUCUUUUACCCGGGAUGAUAAUGACAGUACCGGGAGAAUAAGCUCCGGCUAACUCCGUG
rnacentral:rRNA from 1 species